rnacentral:rRNA from 1 species
UACGUAGGGUGCAAGCGUUAAUCGGAAUUACUGGGCGUAAAGCGUGCGCAGGCGGUUUUGUAAGACUGACGUGAAAUCCCCAGGCUCAACUUGGGAACUGCAUCCGAUACUGGAUGGCUUGAAUUCGGGAGAGGGAUGCAGAAUUCCAGGUGUAGCGGUGAAAUGCGUAGAUAUCUGGAGGAAUACCGGUGGCGAAGGCGGCAUCCUGGACCGACAUUGACGCUGAGGAGCGAAAGCUAGGGGAGCAAACGGG